ACUUCACCGGUCCCUGUACGCUAGGUGGUGGCGAUCAGGUUUCGCUUUUGUGUAGAUUAUCGGAUUUGUUGUUUCGCUUCUUCUGUUUGGGUUUGAUUCUAUGCUUUCGAUAUCGAUAUCGAUGGAUUAAGUUUUGUUAUCGCUAUGCUUUCGGGUUUGGUGAUGGAUUUUGCUAACCGAUUAAAAGUUGGAUCUAAUGACCUUCGAAGGUUGUGACGAUAUAAAGAACCAGAGAUUGUGUGUAUCUUUGCAGGCGUGUUUUAUUGGUUCAGAUGAGACCCAAACGUCAUCGUGGAUCAUGGUGAAGUAGGUGUUUGGAUUUGUAUCUUCUCGUUGUUUUGUAUAGAUAUAAUUUGUUGGUUUGAGGCUGAAGCUCGUCUUUAUUGAUAUGCUUAUGAGUUUUGAUUGGGAUGAUGAAUGCCAGGGCAUCGUGUAUUCAGUACCUAGUUCUGCUUGCGUUUUGAUUUCGACGAAAACCUCAUAGAUUUACCUUCUAUGGGAGAUCUUUCGUUUACUUCCUUUGAUUUUGUUCUGAAGUUUAGAAUAUAAUGAUUUGGAAAUUUCCCUCGUUUUUUAUCAAUCAAAUAAGCGGAGCUUUGCUGUUAUUUUUCAGGCCUCGUUUGCGGUGUUUGACACACGAGGGUUAGAUGUUUGGUUAGCUGAUAACUCCAUAGGUUCUUAUGGGAUCUGAUUGGAUGGCUAUGAGGUUGUAUUUUUUUUUACUGUUUUGCGGAUGCAAUGGAAUGUUGAAUUUCAAAAUUGUCUAUCCGGAUCUAUUGAUUUGCAGGAGAUAUAGUAAUAGGAUUCCAUUUCAAAACCAAUGAAAUUCAAAAUUGUCAAAAUGCGCGUCUUUAUAUAUCUUUGAAGUCCCUGAAAUUUGUAAGUAACAUCAUGUUUAUGUCCUUUUCUCUAUAAUCAUGCCAAACCUUCUGCUCUUUUAUUGACAGAUACUAAAUCCAGAAUUCGUGCGGUACAUUGUUAACCUUCUUAGUUCGUAGCCUUUAUUUUCGAUGUGUUUCUUGUUUUUUUGGGUAUGUUGUAAUCGGGUUUUUAUGUCCUCAAUGCUGGCUUUCUAUUGAUUUUCUCAGUGGGAAUGGAAGGGUCUAUUUUAAUUUUUUCUUAUCUCAAAGAUAUAGUAAUUGUUUUUUUUCAGAGAUAAAAUUAUUCAAUGUUUUGAUUACAGACCCCGAGUAUUUCGCACUUACCUCUUUAUUGCCAUGUAUUUGAUCAGUAUAUUUUGCCUUAUGGUCUUCAAGCUAUUAAUAAUUACAACCGAAAGUGGUUUGGCGCUUACCCUUUACGUUAUGUUUUUAUUUUUUAAAAGUUUAUUCAAUGGUUUUCGUUCGUUGCAUAUAUUUGGGCUUCGAAUUUGUAUAGCAGUGUGGUUAGGUAUUGUCUUGAUGAUUCACUAAUUUUGUGAUUAAAGUGCUUAUGGAGACUAAGUUGGAUGGAGCUAAAAGUUUAUGACACUGUUAUGGGGAGCUAUUCUAGUUUGGUUAACAUGUUAAAUCUUUUUCUUUUAAUUUUUUAAUUUUUUUUAUACAAGUCUCUCUCUCUCUUUCACCCCAAAAUUAAUAUUAGUUACUAUGUAUUUCUCAGGUUUCUUAUGUUGGUUUCGAAUUGGCAUGCUACCUAAGGGGGGUUUUAAUGUUGUUGCCUUUCGUUUCCCAUUUAAAUUUUUUAUUAAAUUUGGUACUGAUAUUUUAGCAAUAUCUCAUGUAGAUGCAACCUAAUUUUUGUCUUAGGGACAAAGUUUCACCAGGGGAAAACGGUUUGAGAGCCCAAGGCCACUGGUUUUGUUUGUUCCCCUUCGUUGGUUUCUUAUUUUUGUUAGUUGUUCAAUAUCGUGAAUUCUGUGGUCUGUCUUUCCGUUGGUGUCGUGCUUUGGUCCACAUGAUGUAGUGCUUAUCAGGAUUUUGAGCAGUUCCUGGGGAUACCUUGUUUGGUGAUAUUUUUUUUGCAGGAAUUUGGCUUUAAUGCCACAGUUAAUAAAGGAAUUUGAAAUGGGUUAUUAGGAGAACAUGUUAAAUCCUUUGUCUCUUAAGUUUUUUAAACUUUUAUAUACAUCUCUCUCUCGUUCUCUCUCUCUCUCUCUCUCUCUCUCACUCUCUAUUUCACUCCUUAAUUAAUAUUAUGUAUUAUGUAUUUUUCAGGUUUCUUCUGUUGGGUUUGAAUUGACUUACUAGCUAAGAGGGGGUUUAAUGUUGUUGCCUUUUGUUUCCCAUUUCAAAAAUUUAUUACAUUUGGUGCUGUUAUUUUAGCAAUAUCUUAUGUAGAUGCACCCUAAUUCUUGUCUUAGGGACAAAGUUUCACCUUGGGGCACGGGUUUGAGAGCUCAAGGCCGCUGGUUUUGUUUCUUUACCUUCCUUGGAUUCUUAUUUACGUUACUUGUUCAAUAUCUUGAAUUCUGUGGUCUGUCUUUCCAUUAAUGUCUUGCUUUAGUCCACAUUAUGUAAUGAUUAUCAGGAUUUUGAGCAGUUUCUGCAGUUGCCUUGUUUGGUGAUUGUUUUUUUUCUCUUAUUUCUUUUUAAAAUUUUAUACAAGUCUCUCUCUCUCUCUCUCUCUCUCUCAAUAUCUCUGUAUUUCACCCCCUAAAUUGGUCAGGCAUUAUGUAUUUUUCAGGUUUCGUCUGUUGGGUUUGAAUUGACUUACUACCUAAAAAGGGGUUUAAUGAUGUUUCUUUUUUGUUUCCCAUUUCAAUUUUUCUACACAUUUGGUGCUGUUAUUAUACCAAAUAUCUCAUGUAGUUGAACCAUAAUUCUUAGGGACAAAGUUUCACCUAGGUAUGGCUGUCUCCAAUAUAUGUAUAUGGCGGUGUUUCCGCUCGGCAACCCUAUUUUGAUUCAAUCAACAACCAAUUCUCACCAGUAUGAGAGCUCAAGGCCGCUUGGUUUUGUUUGUUCACCUUCCUUGGUUUCUUAUUUUUGUUACUUGUUCAAUAUUGUGAAUUUUGUGGUCAGUUUUCCAUCGGUGUCUUGCUUUAGUCCACAUUUCGUAGUGAUUAUCAGGAUGUUGAGCAGUUCCUGCAGUUGCCUUGUUUGGUGAUUUUUUUUGCAGGAAUUUGGUUUUAGAAGUUUACGCCCUAGAACGGAAGUGGAAAUAGGUUAUUGGGAGAAUAUGUUGGCGUUUUGGUUUUUGAUGAAAUUGUUUCAUUCUUUACUCGUUCAAUGUCCUAAAUUAUGGGGCGAACAUGUUAAAUAUUUUAUACGUCACCCCUAACUUAAUAUUAGGUAUGAUGUAUGUUUCUUGGUUCUUCUGUUGUGUUUUAAUUGACCUACUACCUAAGAGGGGGUUUAAUGCUAUUCCCUUUUGUUUCCCAUUUCAAUAAUUUAUUACAUUUGUUCCUGUUAUUUUAGCAAUAUCUUAUGUAGAUGCACCCUAAUUCUUGUCUUAGGGACAAAGUUUCACCUGGGGGCACCGGUGAUAGAGCUCAAGGCCACUGGUUUUGUUUGUUCACCUUGUUUCUUACUUUUGUUACUUGUUCAAUAUUGUUUCUGUGGUUGUCUUUCUGUUGGUGGCUUGUGCAGACUUGCUUUAGUCCGCAUUAUGGAAGUCUAUCAGGAUUUUGAGUAGUUCCUGCACUUACCUUGUUUUGUGAAUUUUUGCAUGAAUUUGAUUUUGAAGGUUUAUGCUGCAGUUAAAUGAAAGAAGAAAUGGGUUAUUUGGGGAAUGUGUCGUUGUUUUGUUUUUGGUGAAAUUGUUUUAUUCUCUGCUCGUUUGAUGUCCUAAAUUAUUGGGAGAACAUGUUAAAUAUUUUUCUCUUAUUGUUUUAUUUUUUUAUAUCAAGUAUAUAUAUCUCCCUCUAUCCCUUAAUUAAUAUUUGGUAUUAUGUAUUUUCAGGUUUCUUCUGUUGGGUUUGAAUUGAAAUGCUACCUAAGAGGAGGGACAAAGUUUCAACUUGGUGCACGGGUUUGAGUGGAGUUCAAGGCCGCUGGUUUUUAUUCACCCUGCUUUGUUUCUUACUUUUCCAUAGCCUUCCACUCUUUUGAUAGGGUUAUAUGCUUGCUCCUCUACUCUUUGUCAAAGUGACUUUUUAAACCUCUAUUGAUACCCAAAAAAUCAUAAAUUCAUGUGUCUUUCUCUCCUUUUCCCUAUAAUCAUGCUACGCAUUUUGUUCUUCUAUUGACAAAUACUAAAUUGUGAUUUAGUUCAAUAGUCUGCCUUCUGGUUAUGCAUCUUGUUCUCUUGGUAUGUUCUAAUCGGAUUUUAUGUCUUCAAUCUUGGCAUAUGGGGGAAUGUGUUCAAAAUCACCAUCAAUCUUAUUUAUCUUUUUUUCUUGGUUCGAAGAUAUAGUAUUAUGAUGUUUUGAUUACAGAUGCUGAAUAUGUCUUACUUCCUUCUGUGCUGCCAUGUAUUUGUUCGAUAUAUGUUGCUUUAUGGUCUUUAAGCUAUUAGAUAAUUACCGCCAAACCGUGCUUUAGCUUUUAUGUUUUGUCUUUUCUUCCGUUGGUUUAUUUCUAAGGUUGUCAUUCCAUAUAUUUGGUCUCCCGAAUUGUAUAGCAGUCUGGUUUGACAUUCUCUUUAUGAUGAUUCCCUAUUUUCGUGAUUGCAUUUAAAGUUUAUGACAUUGUUGUGGGGAGCAGAUUCUGGUUUGUUUCUUAACAAGAACAUGUCAACUUCCUAUUUUAAAAUUCUCUCUCUCUCUCUCUCUCAGGUAUCUUCAGUGGGGUUCUAAGUGGCAUACUAAUUAAGAGGCGGUUUAAUUCUUCUUUCCUUUUGUUUCCCAUCUUUAAGGAUUUAUAAGAUUUGGUGCUGUUAUGUAGCAAUAUCUGAAGUAGAUGCAUCCUAAUUCUUGUCUUAGGGACAAAGUUUUCCUUGGGGCAUGGCAAUGAAUGGAGUAAUGGCUGCUGGUUUUGUUUAUUCACCCUGCUUGCUUUCUUGUUUCUUUUACAUGUUCAAUAUCGGUGAAUUCUGUGGUUGUCUUUCCUUUGAUGUCUUAUGCGGAUGAAUCUGUUGCUUUAGUCUGUCUUUAUGGAGCUGUGUAUCAGGAUUUUGAGUAGCUUCUGCAGUUGCCUUAUUGACCCUGUUUGGUUUCUUAUUUCUGUUACAUGUUCAAUAUCGUGAAUUCCGUGGUUGUCUUUCCUUUCAUGUCUUAUGCAGAUGCAUCUCUUGCUUUAGUCCGGAGUAUCAGGAUUUUGAUAGCUUCUGCAAUUGUUCUGUUUGGUGAAUUGUUGCAGGAAUUUGGUUUUAAAGCUUUACGUUGCAGUUAUUUCUUGGCUUAUAAUUUAAUUUCUUAUUUCUUUGAUGUCUGGAACCAUUUGUUUAUGCAGAUUGCAAAUCUUGUCUUGUCUAUGGAAAUCUUGCCUAACUAUAUAAGAGGGGUCUUUUAUCCGAUCUUUUUUAUUCGUACCGUCUGUAUAAUGUGGGGCACAUUGUCUGAGCUAUAUUUCUGCCUGCAGGCGUAUCCUAACUCAUGUUUAUAUAUGGAGGUCUCACUUUCUCAAUUGAGUUUUAAGAAGGGGUUUGAGUAGUUCUUGGCUUAUGAUUUUAUUUCUUAUUUCUUGGUGUUUAUGAGGUAUGGAACCAUUAUUUGAGCACUCUUUUAUGCAGAUGCAUCCCAACGCUUGUCGGUUGCUGGAGUCUCACACUGUUGAAAAGAAAAAAGGGGUUUUCUGAGUUAUUAUCUGAUUUUGUAUUCUUGGAGCCCGUAUGACAUCCUAAGACAGGUUUUGCUCAAUGUCUUUAUAUGCAGACCAUUACACUUGUCUUCUUGUGGGGUCUGAUUCCUUGAAGUAGAACGAGCUGCUUUUAAGAAAGGGUUUGAGUGGUUCUCUGCUUAUGAUUCAACUUCUUACAUGAGCCAUUAUUUGAGUAAUGUUUUCUUUUAGAGUUUGAUGCAUCUUGUGUAUUGGUGAAGAGUUUAUAAGAUCUGGUACCAUUGUUCGAGCAAUAUUCUAUGCAGAUGCAGUUUAACUUGCCUGUGUAUGGAGUUUUACUUUGUUUAAGGAGAGCAGGGGUGCUACCAAGAAUGAAUUUCUUCGCCCUAUUAUUUGAUUUGCUGGUCUUAGAGAUUUUGCACAACUUAUUUGAACAGUGUUUCUAUAUGCAGACACAUACUAACUCUUGUCUUGUAAAUGGAGUCCAACAUUGUUGACAGAGAAGAGCUUCUUCCAAGAGGGGGUUUCUUGUCUUAUUAUCUAUUUUCUAUUUCUGGAGAUUGUAUGAGAUCUUGGGCCAUGAUUUGCAUCAUUACUUUCCAUUCUAUGCAGAUCAUCUUGUCUGUAUAUGGGGUCCAACUUUGUUGAAGGAAAUCGCUUUUAAGAGGGAGUUGAGUAGUAUGGCCUUGUGAUUUAAUUUCUUCUUGGGUUUAUGAGAUUCGACACUUUCAUUGGGCAUUCUUUUGUGCAGAUGCAUCGUUGCUUUGCUC